CGGAGCUCCGCCCGCGCCGCCCCCACGCACGGCCGCGCACUAUUCCUAUGGAACACGCAGGCAUGUGUAUGUAUAUACACGCGUUCGCCUCGCAGACUGUCUGCGUGGGCGGUGUUUCGACGAGGAUGCCCGUGCCGGCGUGACUGUGUUUACUACGUGUUUUUAAAAGGCGGUUGAAUGGGCGUGAAGGAAGCCCCCCCUCCCCGCGUUCCCUGCUGCGGCCAGGCCUUCCGAGCUCGGCGGGAAUGCACCGCCGGGGAGAGUAAAGACUGGGGAGGGGGAUGGAGGAACCACGGUUCUGUCAGACUGAGGGGAAGGUUUGCAGACAGCGUUACGGUACUGCGGGAGCCGACCAUCUGAGUCCACAGACGAUCAUCAAAGAAAGGGUCCAGAGCAAAAAGCGCCUCGUAAAGUCUUCUGUGGUAAUCCUGAGAUCUGGCAGUGCCUUAAAUCACGCUGUGAGGUCGGCUGCCUUUUUAUAUCAUUAUGAUUUUUCUUCGAAUUUUUGUCUCCAAAUUGCAGUGGGACCACUUGAGGUUUAUUUGAAGCAAGAAGCAGCUCGGCUUGCUUGGCAUGCACUCGGUCCCUCUGGGUGCAUCCAUGGUCAGGAAUGUGGGAUCCCCUCUGCAGAUACUCCCCAACCUGACUGCAGACCGCUGCCACGUUGUUGGCCGUGUAACACCCUGCUCCCUGUGCCACUGUUUGCUGUCGUUGCGUGCCCAGUGGCAGUUUUCCCUCCCUCCUCUGGCUUUUUGUGACAAGUCUUUUCCUCCGCAUCUAGGAAAAACAUAAACGCCCACAAAGACAAACAAAGUGCAGAGUUUUACAGCCAGAGCAGGUUCCUUGUCUGCAGCCACCCUUUUGGACUUCAUCAUUAGCAAACUGCUGAGACUGGCCUCCCAGGGCCUUGGGCUGGGCCACCCCAAAGUGCCACUGACACCAAACCUGUGAUAGCACUUGGGAGUAAGGAAGGAUGGCUGGCCCUGCUUGGGGACAUGACCUCGGGUAAACUGAGGAAGCUGUGGAGAAAGAGCUGAGAAAUCAAGCAUAGAAAAACCUAAACUGAUUUUGCUAGACUGUUGUAAAGGUGUUGAAUUGCCAUGAACUACUCAGUCUGGUAGCACAGCAGCAAGCGCUUCCGUGGGCAAUUGACAAAGUUUUUAUCAUUCUGUACCACAGACUAUGAAGUUCUAGCACGAACUCUAUUGGUGCUAAAUGUUGUACCACGAUAUGAUAGAGAUUGUUCUGCUUCUGAGAGCUGACAUGGUGCUCCUGGAGCUGCCAUGGAAAGGAGGUGAAGAGAGCGAGAGCAACAAUGAUAUGAUUUCUGGGACUGCCUAUCAGCACAGCACACCUUCUCUCUGAGAGUUUUCAGUCACUGAGACACUACAAGAGAAGCCCUAUGGAAAUGGAUUUAUGGACAAGAGCAGGAGAGGAAACUACAUUUGCAGUAAAUAAAAGCAUCAUUCACAAAUGUCCUGGCAGUGAUCGUGGAAUUUGGAAAUACACAUCUCCUAGACAGGAGCAGCAGCAGCAUGGAGGGCUGCACCUCACAUCCUGGAGUCAGAGAUGGACUGCCAGUCGCAUGCCAAACACAGACAGAAGCAUCAUAUCCUGCAGUCUUGUGAAAACAGCUUCCAGUUCCCAAAUUAGGAACAGUCCCACCUCAGCCACUUAUAAAGUAAGUACAAGAAUGCAGUCAGUAAUCGCUGAAAGCACCGGUAAGAUUACUGACAAUUUUUA